rnacentral:rRNA from 1 species
AGUGAACGCUGGCGGUAGGCCUAACACAUGCAAGUCGAACGGCAGCACAGUAAGAGCUCGCUCCUACGGGUGGCGAGUGGCGGAUGGGUGAGGAAUACAUAGGAUUCCUCUUUUUCGUGGGGGACAACGUAGGGAAACUUCCGAUAAUACCGCAUAUGUUCUACGGGUUAAAGCAGGGGUUCUUGGGACUUUUCGCGUCUGUAUUAGCUGAUGUCGGAUUAGCUAGUUGGCGGGGUAAAGGCACACCAAGGCGACGAUCCGUAGCUGGUCUGAGAGGAUGAUCGGCCACACUGGAACUGAGACACGGUCCAGACUCCUACGGGAGGCAGCAGUGGGGAAUAUUGGACAAUGGGCGAAAGCCUGAUCCAGCCAUGCCGCGUGAGUGAAGAAGGCCUUCGGAUUGUAAAGCCCUUUUAUUAGGAAAGAAAAACAGCAGAUUAAUACACCGCUGUUCUGACGGUACCCAAAGAGAAAGCACCGGCUAACUUCGUG